AGCUUUGCACAGUGGCAGUAUCGUAGCCAAUGAGGUUUAUCCGAGGCACGAUUAUUGCUAAUUGAAAACUUAUUUACAAGGCUGCAGUAAAUACUAAAAGUUUAGAAAAAC
ensembl:snRNA U4 U4 spliceosomal RNA